rnacentral:rRNA from 1 species
GAUGAACGCUGGCGGCGUGCCCAAUACAUGCAAGUCGAGCGAACAGAUGAGGAGCUUGCUCCUCUGACGUUAGCGGCGGACGGGUGAGUAACACGUGGAUAACCUACCUAUAAGACUGGGAUAACUUCGGGAAACCGGAGCUAAUACCGGAUAAUAUAUUGAACCGCAUGGUUCAAUAGUGAAAGACGGUUUUGCUGUCACUUAUAGAUGGAUCCGCGCCGCAUUAGCUAGUUGGUAAGGUAACGGCUUACCAAGGCAACGAUGCGUAGCCGACCUGAGAGGGUGAUCGGCCACACUGGAACUGGGACAAGGUCCAGACUCCUGCGGGAGGCAGCAGCAGGGAACCGUCAGCAGUGGGCGAAGGCCUGACGGAGCAACGCCGAGUGCGGGAUGAAGGGCUUCGGAUCGUAAAACUCUGUUAUUAGGGAAGAACAAAUGUGUAAGUAACUAUGCACGUCUUGACGGUACCUAAUCAGAAAGCCACGGCUAACUACGUG